AGAAAAAGAAGAAGAUGAUGACUGUUCAUCAUCUUCUUCCCCUCCUACCCAGCGACCCACAUUUCUCCUCCCCUUGAAACGGCACCGUCGCACCCCUUCCCCGCAGUCCUCGUGUUCGCCGGUGACGGUAAUUCGAAAUGAAACUUCCUCGAUAUUGCUCGAUCAUGACAAGAUUCACAAAGACGGCAGGAAGUUUGGAAGGUUUCAACAACUGCUGGUGCAAAACGUGUGAAGAAAUGCUCAUUAGUCCCAGAGAUUUCUGCAUUAAGCGGUAGAGUCUGAGGCCUUAUCCAAGGCAAAUGCCUCUGCCCCUGCUACCGGUCAGUCCUCCUUUCAUGCAGAUCCUGUGCAAGAAUCAAAAUUGCAAAACCUAAAGACAACAGUUGGUGGUAGUCCAACCAGAGAGUUAAGAAGAACGUCUGUACUGUGGCAGAAUCAGUUGCUACAGAACUUGUCUUACAGAGCAUUACUGGGCGACUUGGCUCUAUUGAACCAGAUGAGUCCUCGAAGAAUAAAUUGAAAGACCCAAAAGCUGUCAAAUCUGGUAGGUCACCCCAUGAAGAAAAGAAGGUAACAAAGUCACAGAAGAGAAAAGAUCUAGGCCGCGACAGAUGAUGGAGUUUCACAAUAUCAAGAUAAGCCAGGUUCUGUUUCAUUUCGAGGUGCAGGCCAUCAUCUUAGGUCGAGCAAUAUCGAGGAAGUUUUUUCGAAUUACCGUCACCGGCGAACACGAGGACUGCGGGAAAGGGGUGCGACAGUGCCGUUUCAAGGGGAGGAGAAUGGUGGGUCGCUGGGUAGGAGGGGAAGAA